rnacentral:tRNA from 1 species
AGAAACUUAGGUUACACACAAACCGGGGGCCUUCAAAACCCCAAACACGAGGACACUCGUAAUUUCUG